AGUGAACGCUGGCGGUAGGCCUAACACAUGCAAGUCGAACGGCAGCACAGUAAGAGCUUGCUCUUACGGGUGGCGAGUGGCGGAGGGGUGAGGAAUACAUCGGAAUCUACUUUUUCGUGGGGGAUAACGUAGGGAAACUUACGCUAAUACCGCAUACGACCUACGGGUGAAAGCAGGGGAUCUUCGGACCUUGCGCGAUUGAAUGAGCCGAUGUCGGAUUAGCUAGUUGGCGGGGUAAAGGCCCACCAAGGCGACGAUCCGUAGCUGGUCUGAGAGGAUGAUCAGCCACACUGGAACUGAGACACGGUCCAGACUCCUACGGGAGGCAGCAGUGGGGAAUAUUGGACAAUGGGCGCAAGCCUGAUCCAGCCAUACCGCGUGGGUGAAGAAGGCCUUCGGGUUGUAAAGCCCUUUUGUUGGGAAAGAAAAGCAGCAGGUUAAUACCCCGCUGUUCUGACGGUACCCAAAGAAUAAGCACCGGCUAACUUCGUG
rnacentral:rRNA from 1 species